rnacentral:rRNA from 1 species
AUUGAACGUGGCGGCAUGCUUUUACCAUGCAAGUCGAACGGCAGCACGGGUGCUUUGCACCUGGUGGCGAGUGGCGAACGGGUGAGUUAAUGCAUCGGAACGUGCCUAUUAGUGGGGGAUAACGCUUCGAAAGGAGUGCUAAUACCGCAUAAUCUCUGAGGAGGAAAGCGGGGGACCUUAGGGCCUCGCGCUGAUAGAGCGGCCGAUGUCGGAUUAGCUAGUUGGUGAGGUAAAGGCUCACCAAGGCGACGAUCCGUAGCGGGUCUGAGAGGAUGAUCCGCCACACUGGGACUGAGACAGGCCCAGACUCCUACGGGAGGCAGCAGUGGGGAAUUUUGGACAAUGGGCGCAAGCCUGAUCCAGCCAUGCCGCGUGAGUGAAGAAGGCCUUCGGGUUGUAAAGCUCUUUUGUCCGGGAGCAAGUCCUACUGGCUAAUAUCUGGUGGGGAUGAGAGUACUGGAAGAAUAAGCACCGGCUAACUACGUG